AACAAGCACUGAUUUUCGUGUCCAAUAUUUGACCGUUCAUCUUAUUUAAAAAAAAUAUAAAAGAAUUAAAAAGAUAAGUCACGUAUAAAGUAUUAAUCAUAUUUUAUCAUCUAACAAUAAUGAAAAUACUAAUUAUAAAAAAAAUUCAUAUAAGACGGACAGUCAAACGUUGGCACGAAAACCCACGGUUUGCCUUUUU
rfam:Oryza sativa (indica cultivar-group) chromosome 11, whole genome shotgun sequence.